GAUGAACGCUGGCGGCGUGCCUAAUACAUGCAAGUCGAGCGAACGGACGAGAAGCUUGCUUCUCUGAUGUUAGCGGCGGACGGGUGAGUAACACGUGGAUAACCUACCUAUAAGACUGGGAUAACUUCGGGAAACCGGAGCUAAUACCGGAUAAUAUUUUGAACCGCAUGGUUCAAAAGUGAAAGACGGUCUUGCUGUAACUUAUAGUUGGGUCCGCGCUGGAUUAGUUAGUUGGUAAGGUAACGGCUUACCAAGGCAACGAUCUAUAGCCGGCCAGAGCGGAUGCGCAGCAACACUGGGAGGGAGCCACGGCCAGGACUCCUACGGGAGGGAGCAGAGGGGAAUAUGAGAAACGGGGCGAAAGCGUGAACGAGCAAUGCCGCGUAAAUGUUGAAGGUCUGAGGGUAGUAAAGCUCUUUUAACCGGGACGAUAAUGACAGUACCGGAAGAAUAAGCCCCGGCUAACUCCGUG
rnacentral:rRNA from 1 species